CUUUGAUUAUGGCUCAGGAUGAACGCUGGCGGCAUGCCUAAGACAUGCAAGUCGAACGAGAAAGCCUGAUGAAGUUGGAGUGCUUGCACAAAGAUGGAAACAGAUACUUUCUAGUGGCAGACGGGUGAGUAACACGUGGGUAACCUGCCUUUAUGAUGGGGAUAACAGUUGGAAACGACUGCUAAUACCGAAUAACAUGUAACGGUUAAAGUUAUAUAGAAAGGAGCCUUUAAAGCUUCGCAUAAAGAUGGGCCUGCGGCGUAUUAACUAGUUGGUGGGGUAAUGGCCUACCAAGGUAACGAUGCGUAGCCGAACUGAGAGGUUGAACGGCCACACUGGGACUGAGACACGGCCCAGACUCCUACGGGAGACAGCAGUCAGGAAUAUUCGUCAAUGGGGGAAACCCAGAACGAGCAAUGCCGCGUGAGUGAUGAAGGUCUUUGGAUUGUAAAACUCUGUUGUAUGGGAAGAACGUUGGUAUUAGGAAAUGAAUGCCAAGUGACGGUACCAUGCGAGAAAGCCCCGGCUAACUACGUGCCAGCAGCCGCGGUA
rnacentral:rRNA from 1 species